CCUACGGGAGGCAGCAGUGGGGAAUAUUGGACAAUGGGGGGAACCCUGAUCCAGCCAUGUCGCGUGUGUGAAGAAGGCCCUCGGGUUGUAAAGCACUUUCAGUGAGGAAGAACGCCUGGUGGUUAAUACCCAUCAGGAAAGACAUCACUCACAGAAGAAGCACCGGCUAACUCCGUGCCAGCAGCCGCGGUAAUACGGAGGGUGCGAGCGUUAAUCGGAAUUACUGGGCGUAAAGCGCGCGUAGGUGGCUUGAUAAGCCGGUUGUGAAAGCCCCGGGCUCAACCUGGGAACGGCAUCCGGAACUGUCAAGCUAGAGUGCAGGAGAGGAAGGUAGAAUUCCCGGUGUAGCGGUGAAAUGCGUAGAGAUCGGGAGGAAUACCAGUGGCGAAGGCGGCCUUCUGGACUGACACUGACACUGAGGUGCGAAAGCGUGGGUAGCAAACAGGAUUAGAUACCCGGGUAGUC
rnacentral:rRNA from 1 species